AGAUUGAACGCUGGCGGCAUGCCUAACACAUGCAAGUCGAACGGGAGUAGCAAUACUCUAGUGGCGGACGGGUGAGGAAUACGUAGGAAUUUGCCCUUAAGUGGGGGAUAACCCGGGGAAACCCGGAUUAAUACCGCAUGGACCUCGAAAGAGCAAAGUGGGGGAUCGCAAGACCUCGACGCUUUGGGAGAAGCCUACGUCGGAUUAGCUAGUUGGUGAGGUAAUGGCUCACCAAGGUCGACGAUCCGUAACUGGUCUGAGAGGAUGAUCAGUCACACCGGGAACUGAGACACGGUCCGGACUCCUACGGGAGGGCCAGCAGGUGGGGAAUAGUUAGGACAAGUGGGCGACAACGGCCUGAA
rnacentral:rRNA from 1 species